CAGCAGCCGCGGGAAUACGGAGGGUGCAAGCGUUAAUCGGAAUUACUGGGCGUAAAGCGUGCGUAGGUGGUGGUUUAAGUCCGUUGUGAAAGCCCUGGGCUCAACCUGGGAAUUGCAGUGGAUACUGGGUCACUAGAGUGUGGUAGAGGAUAGUGGAAUUUCCGGUGUAGCAGUGAAAUGCGUAGAGAUCGGAAGGAACAUCUGUGGCGAAGGCGACUAUCUGGGCCAACACUGACACUGAGGCACGAAAGCGUGGGGAGCAAACAGGAUUAGAUACCCGAGUAGUCCCUGUCUCUUAUAA
rnacentral:rRNA from 1 species